rnacentral:rRNA from 1 species
UGAUGUGUACGUGAAUCAUCGAAUCUUUGAAUGCACCUUGCACUGGCAAUAAUCAGCCAGUAUACCUGUUUGAGCAUCAUACAACCCUCAGUUAAGGCAUGGCGGCUUGCAAAGGCCCCCAUUGCCCAGACGGAUCUGGCCUGUACGUCAACUCGUUACAGAGGUGGGCGUUCAGGCUUAAAUGCAGCACUUGGCCUGCCUGUUUGCAGCUGGAGCUACUCGCGUCACCUCUGGGUGACUGCUGAACAAAUCCAACAGUAUCUGGCUUAUGCUUUCAGUGUCCACCACAACUAAGUGCCAGACGUCACAGUCUGGUGCCUAAACACGUUGAUCUCAAAUCAGGUAAGACUACCCGCUGAACUUAAGCAUAUCAAUAAGCGGAGG